rnacentral:rRNA from 1 species
UUGGUUAAGUUAGAAAGGGCGCACGGUGGAUGCCUUGGCACUAGGAGCCGAAGAAGGACGGGACUAACACCGAUAUGCUUUGGGGAGCUGUACGUAAGCGUUGAUCCAGAGAUUUCCGAAUGGGGGAACCCACUAUCUUUAGUCGGAUAGUAUCCUUACGUGAAUACAUAGCGUAAGGAAGGCAGACCCAGGGAACUGAAACAUCUAAGUACCUGGAGGAAGAGAAAGAAAAAUCGAUUUCCUGAGUAGCGGCGAGCGAAACGGAAAGAGCCCAAACCAAGAAGCUUGCUUCUUGGGGUUGUAGGACACUCUAUACGGAGUUACAAAAGAAAGUUAUAAAUGAAGCGGUCUGGAAAGGCCCGCCAAAGACGGUAACAGCCCGGUAGUUGAAAUGGCUUUCCCUCCAGAGUGGAUCCUGAGUACGGCGGAACACGUGAAAUUCCGUCGGAAUCCGGGAGGACCAUCUCCCAAGGCUAAAUACUCCCUAGUGACCGAUAGUGAACCAGUACCGUGAGGGAAAGGUGAAAAGCACCCCGGAAGGGGAGUGAAACAGUUCCUGAAACCGUGUGCCUACAAGUAGUUAGAGCCCGUUAAUGGGUGAUAGCGUGCCUUUUGUAGAAUGAACCGGCGAGUUACGAUUUGUUGCAAGGUUAAGCGGAAAAAGCGGAGCCGUAGCGAAAGCGAGUCUGAAUAGGGCGCAUAAGUAACAGGUCGUAGACCCGAAACCAGGUGAUCUACCCAUGUCCAGGAUGAAGGUAAGGUAAUACUUACUGGAGGUCCGAACCCACGCACGUUGAAAAGUGCGGGGAUGAGGUGUGGGUAGCGGAGAAAUUCCAAUCGAACUUGGAGAUAGCUGGUUCUCUCCGAAAUAGCUUUAGGGCUAGCCUCGAGGUAAAGAGUCAUGGAGGUAGAGCACUGUUUGGACUAGGGGCCCUUCUCGGGUUACCGAAUUCAGAUAAACUCCGAAUGCCAUGUACUUAUACUCGGGAGUCAGACUGCGAGUGAUAAGAUCCGUAGUCGAAAGGGAAACAGCC